GUGGUGUGUGUGUGUGUAUGUAUGUGUGUGUGUGUAUAUAUAUACACAUAUACAUACACACACACACACCACUU